rnacentral:rRNA from 1 species
UAGAGUUUGAUCCUGGCUCAGGGUGAACGCUUGUAGCAUACUUUACACAUGCUAGUCUAAUGAUUUUUUCAUGGCGUACAGGUGAGUAAUACAUAAGAAUUUGCCUCAGAAUUCCGGGAUAUUCGUAUUUGAUUUUAUCAAAGAGUGUUUUACAUCGAGAAUACCGAAUUAAAAAAGGCUUACGGCCGUUUUGAGAUAAGCUUAUGCAGGAUUAGGUUGUUGGUGAGGUAAAGGCUCACCAAGCCGAAGAUCCUUAGUUGAUCUGAGAGGAUGAUCAGCCACACUGGGACUGAGAUAAGGCCCAGGCUUUUAGCCAGCAGUGAGGAAUUUUGGACAAUGGGCGAAAGCCUGAUCCAGUAAUGCUACGUGAAUGAUGAUAAGCACAAAAGGUCUUUAUACUCUUUGAGUUAAAGGUUGGCUGUAAAGUUCUUUCACUGAUGAAGAUAAUGACGUUAUUCAGAGAAGAAGUCCCGGCUAACUUCGUGCCAGCAGCCGCGGUAAUACGAAGGGGGCGAGCGUUACCCGGAAUUAUUGGGCGUAAAGUGUUCGUAGACUGUAUUUGAUUUUUUAUGUAAAAUAUCAGGCUUAAAGCUUGAAAAUGCGUAUAAUAAACUUUCGACUAGAGUUUACAGAGGAUAACAGAAUUUUAUAGUAUAGGGGUAAAAUCCGAAGAUUUAUAAAGGAAUGUCAGCGGCGAAGGCGGUUAUCUGGGUUAUUACUGACGUUGAGGAACGAAAGCGUAGGGAGCAAACAGGAUUAGAGACCCUGGUAGUCUACGCUGUCAAAGAUGAAUGCUAUCGUUGGGAUUAUUUUCUGGCGAACAGCUAACGCGUUAAGCAUUCCGCCUGGGGAGUACGAUCGCAAGGUUGGAACUCAAAGGAAUUGGCGGGGGUCUACACAAGUGGUGGAGCAUGUGGUUUAAUGCGAUAAUACGCGCGAAACCUUACCAGUUCUUGAAUAUUUUCUAUAAAAAAUUUCUAUAAAAAUUUUUUUGUUUCUAAUGAUUCAUUAGUAAAAAUAAGAAAUUACAGGUGUUGCAUGGCUGUCGUCAGCUCGUGCCGUGAGGUGUUUGGUUAAGUCCUUUAACGAGCGCAACUCUUAUUUUAGAUUGGUAGUAUUUUUCAGUUUUGUUUAAAAGCCCACUUCUAUUAGACUGCCUGUGAUAUACAGGAGGAAGGUGAGAAUGACGUCAAGCCCUUAUGACCCUUAUGAACUGGGCUACACACGUGCUACAAUGAUAUUUACAAAGAGUAUUGCAAUAAAGUUAUUUGGAGCUAAUCUUAAAAAGAUAUCAUAUUCGGAUUGUAGGCUGAAAUUCGCCUACAUGAAGUUGGAAUCACUAGUAAUCGUAGAUCAGCACGCUACGGUGAAUCUUUACCUAGACCUUGCACACACCGCCCGUCACAUGCUAGAAGGAGGCUUUAUUUGAAAUUGGCUCUUUUUUAAACUUUUUUUAUUAUUUCAACUUGUUAUAAUAUCUCAAAAAUUUUUACAAAAAGAGUUACUUAUUAUAAGGUCUGUAACUGGGAUGAAGUCGUAACAAGGUAACCA